rnacentral:rRNA from 1 species
UGCGUAGGCUGCGUGGAAAGUCGGAUGUGAAAUCCGGGGGCUCAACCUCCGAAAUGCAUACGAUACUGCCGCGCUCGAGUUCUCAAGGGGGGUCUGGAAUUCUCGGUGUAGCAGUGAAAUGCGUAGAUAUCGAGAGGAACACUAGUGGCGAAGGCGAGACCCUGGGGAGAUACUGACGCUGAGGACAAGGCUAGGGUAGCAAACG